rnacentral:rRNA from 1 species
CACUAUGCUUAGCCAUAAACAUCGAUAGUAUUAUCACCUCACUAUCCGCCAGGGAACUACGAGCAAUAGCUUAAAACCCAAAGGACUUGGCGGUGCUUUAGACCCACUUAGAGGAGCCUGUUCUAGAACCGAUACUCCCCGUUCAACCUCACCUUUUCUUGUUUAACCCGCCUAUAUACCGCCGUCGUCAGCUUACCCUGUAAAGGCCCUAUAGUAAGCAAAAAUGAUUUAAAUCCAAAACGUCAGGUCGAGGUGUAGCGCAUGGAAAGGAAAGAAAUGGGCUACAUUCCCUGCUCCAGGGAACACGAAUAGUACACUGAAACACGUACUUGAAGGAGGAUUUAACAGUAAGCAGGAAACAGAGCGUUCUGCUGAAACUGGCCCUGAAGCGCGUACACACCGCCCGUCACUCUCCCCAAACAAACCCAUUAAACUAACAUAAACAACUACUCAUCCAAAGGGGAGGCAAGUCGUAA